AUUGAACGCUGGCGGCAGGCUUAACGCAUGCAAGUCGAGCGGUAACAGGGGGUGCUUGCACCCCGCUGACGAGCGGCGGACGGGUGAGUAAUGCUUAGGAAUCUGCCCAGUAGUGGGGGAUAGCCCGGGGAAACCCGGAUUAAUACCGCAUACGUCCUACGGGAGAAAGCAGGGGAUCUUCGGACCUUGCGCUACUGGAUGAGCCUAAGUCGGAUUAGCUAGUUGGUGGGGUAAAGGCCUACCAAGGCGACGAUCCGUAGCUGGUCUGAGAGGAUGAUCAGCCACAUCGGGACUGAGACACGGCCCGAACUCCUACGGGAGGCAGCAGUGGGGAAUAUUGGACAAUGGGGGCAACCCUGAUCCAGCCAUGCCGCGUGUGUGAAGAAGGCUUUCGGGUCGUAAAGCACUUUCAGCGAGGAGGAAGGCUCUGAAGUUAAUACCUUCAGGGAUUGACGUUACUCGCAGAAGAAGCACCGGCUAACUCCGUGCCAGCAGCCGCGGUAAUACGGAGGGUGCAAGCGUUAAUCGGAAUUACUGGGCGUAAAGCGCGCGUAGGUGGUUAGGUAAGCGAGAUGUGAAAGCCCCGGGCUUAACCUGGGAACGGCAUUUCGAACUGUCUGACUAGAGUGUGGUAGAGGGUAGUGGAAUUUCCUGUGUAGCGGUGAAAUGCGUAGAUAUAGGAAGGAACACCAGUGGCGAAGGCGGCUACCUGGACCAACACUGACACUGAGGUGCGAAAGCGUGGGGAGCAAACAGGAUUAGAUACCCUGGUAGUCCACGCCGUAAACGAUGUCAACUAGCCGUUGGGACUCUUGAAGUCUUAGUGGCGCAGCUAACGCACUAAGUUGACCGCCUGGGGAGUACGGCCGCAAGGUUAAAACUCAAAUGAAUUGACGGGGGCCCGCACAAGCGGUGGAGCAUGUGGUUUAAUUCGACGCAACGCGAAGAACCUUACCUGGCCUUGACAUCCAGAGAACUUUCCAGAGAUGGAUUGGUGCCUUCGGGAACUCUGAGGCAGGUGCUGCAUGGCCGUCGUCAGCUCGUGUCGUGAGAUGUUGGGUUAAGUCCCGUAACGAGCGCAACCCCUAUCCCUGGUUGCUAGCAGGUAAUGCUGAGAACUCCAGGGAGACUGCCGGUGACAAACCGGAGGAAGGUGGGGAUGACGUCAGGUCAUCAUGGCCCUUACGGCCAGGGCUACACACGUGCUACAAUGGCGCGUACAGAGGGCUGCCAACUCGCGAGAGUGCGCCAAUCCCUUAAAACGCGUCGUAGUCCGGAUCGGAGUCUGCAACUCGACUCCGUGAAGUCGGAAUCGCUAGUAAUCGCGAAUCAGAGUGUCGCGGUGAAUACGUUCCCGGGCCU
rnacentral:rRNA from 1 species